CGACGAUCUUCCUCUCUGUCUCCUGUGAAGCACUCUGGGAUGCCAUUGCAGCCCUUUGCAACUCAGAUCCAGCGAGACGACAGCCGGCGAUGAAGCCAACCUUCCAACUUUUUGAUUUGUGCGUAUUUAUCUAUCUUCUGUUUGCAUUUUUGUUUUGGAAUUUCUUAUUUGUGGGUUUUCAGAGAUUAGAGAUGGUUUCCAACAAAUGCACAACCCUUGUCAAGUAAGGGGUUUUCGGAGAUUGGAGAUGGUGGGCUGGAGAUGCAGCGGCAAGGGUUUCGGAUUUGCGGCUGGAGGUGGGUUUGGAGCUUGCGACUAGAGGAAUGGACGCUCAAGUAUCUUAUGCAUUUCACUUGGAGGCGCGAAAGUUGCAUCCUGAAAAAUUCAAAAAUCAGAUAGUUAAUCAGGGGGAUUUAUCUGGUAACUUGCUAUAUGGAGAUAUUCCGUUCUCGACAUCUAGGCUUAAACAGCUUGCUAUAUGAAGAUAUUCCGGAUAACAUUGCCGUAUUUAUGGACCCUUGUGCUGCAAUUCUUGUUCUCAUCAUCGUUGGACUCUUAUGCGUGAGAAUCAAUGAGGUAUCCCUAUAACACAUGCCUCUUUUUACAAAGCUUUAAUUUUUGUUGUUGUUUCUAGUAACUUG